CUUCGAUAGUCAGAUAUAUUAUACAGUAUUGGACGCAAAGUUGUUUGUAACAAUUCUUUUGAUAACUUUUGGUCCUCUUGCAAAGCGUUCUUGAGACCUAAUGAUGCCGCUUCAAUAAGCUCCUUGGACUUUGCAUACAAAGAUUUAAAAAAAACAACAAUAAUUCCUUCACGUAAGUGUGCAUGUUGAGGGUUAUUAAAAUCAAUCUUCAAAAUGCAAGUACUGAGUAAUUCUACACAUACUACUCUCAAACGUAUAAGAAGUGCAGCGUUUUUGAAGUGAGAAGUUUUACCAAUUCCAAUAAGAGCAUCAUCGUCCGCUUCUGCUAAAGCAGUGGUUUCAUGAAUAAGACGAAUUAAUUCGUCGGAAAAAGUAAUCAAUUCACUUCCAAGACUUAUGCAGUAAUUUACAGCAUCGAUAUGUCCAAUUUGUAUAUGGAAAGGUAAUGCUCGAAGAGGUUUUGCAAAUAUUGGUGAGAGAAGUCUUUCUUUGAAAGGUGAAACUAGUUUAACAAUCGGAGUAUUUGAAAGUUCCGACAAUAAAGAAAGCAAUUUUUGGGUAGAAGAACGGACCACAGAAUUAUGAUUUGACAAUUCCAAUACUAGAUGCCCUAAAAUUCCGGGAGCAAUUUCAGUAUCUUUGGAAGCAUAUAUUUUUCGAAAUAACUGCUUUAAAACGUCCAUCACGUGAUCCUUACAGACAGUAGGGACUUCUGAGGUAGUAUCUUUCAAUGUAAAAAAUAGCGCAGUUAAAAUAUCAACUUGUCUGUCAAAAAGCCAUUUAGAAGAAUGAUCUUGCUCUAUCAAACAUUCCAAUCCAAAACAGCCUCCGUAUUUUUUAUACCAAUGAGGGUCAUAACAUUUGUGCCGGAAAUCAGAUAAUAAGACCUCAAAAAUUGGAAGGAUAAAAGCCCUUUCUGGAUUUUCAAAAAUCGAUUCUAAAAAACUAAACAUAAAUUUAAGUACAUGUUUCACAGCAUCACCCAUCUUGCUAUUGUCAUUACAAACGACUUCUGAUAGACAAUGAGCAAAAUAAUGAGGACUAAUAAUAACCUCCUUUUGCAAAUUAGUCGUAAAUUUUGAAUGAUUUCCUUGAAUAACGUCAAAAGCAUAAAAAAUAUCGUGUACAAUUACGUUGACCGCCAGUUUUUCAAGCCAGAAGUAAGCUUCUUCGCGGAGUUCAUCAACCGUCGUAGCAAAAAAAAGUCCAUAUGUAGCCGAGGCCAAAAUUAUGGUUUCAUCUGAAUCAUCACUCAGUUGGGUGAAUGAACUCCUUCCAGUCAUUCGGCUCGGUAUUACAGAAUAUGGUCGUCGAAAAUCAAAAUUACUCUUAGAAAUCUUGUCUGCAGUACAUCGAAUGGAUGAGGCUAAGCUGUUAGUAGCGUCACUCUUAUAAACAUAGAGCUUUGAAAUAUUGCAAACAUAAGUGAACGCUUGUUGCUUAACCUCCAGAUCACUAGAAGGGCUAGAAAGCAAAUUCACAGCCUCAUCAACAUAUUGGGUGUAAUGUAAAAGUUGUGGUUGUUUAACCCCUUUUAUCGAAAGAAGUAAAGUAAAAUCGUUAUUCGGUUCCGGCGAAUUCUUUAAACUCUGGACUCUAUCAAGAAGCUUCCUAUUUCUUCCACCAAGUUUACCAAGUAUUUUCAAGGCAGUAUGGCUGUGAUUAUAAUUAUAAGGAAGAGGUUGUAGAUGACUCCAUAAAGCAUUCAUUAGAUCUUCUAUGUAAGGAGCCAUUAUCGGAUCCAAAAAAUCAGGAGUGAGAUUAUCCAAGCAUAAUUCAAAGGUUCGUAAUCCCUGACUAACUAAUUCUUGACUGCUUUUUAAAGACAUGACGAGAGGUCUCAUUAGAUAACUCAUGUAUGGUAAUAAAAGACUAAGCCUUACAGGAAUAGUAAGACAAAGUUCGGUAAAAAGGUCUUUCUCCUUCGGAGUACGGGCAGAUAUAAGCAAUGAAUUAAAUGCCUCUAAUAGAGCGUGCAACAAAGGCAUUACUUCUUUAUAAAGGCUUUCAAAUCUUCCCCCACCAAUUCCUCGGAACAACGCUCUUAAUAGAUAAUAGUAGUUCAAUGAAUUAGCAGAAUUGGGAGCCAACUUCAUACAUUUCACAAUAAUUUCAGAUACAUAAGGCCGAAGAACUGGCUCAUUCUCUGUUGCAAACAUUGAGACUGUAACGAAAGAAAGACGAAACAAACGCAACAAGACAGAACCAUGCCUGAUGUCAGAAGAUCCGAGUUCCUCAAUUCUGGAAAGCAGAAAUCGAAGUAAAAUAUUUAAAAAUUUUGAUGAUGUGCUCUCAUUUGAAAGCAAAAACUGUGGAAUGUGAAAUAAUGUGAGAUUUUUUUUAAGUUGAUCAAAAAAAGUAGGAAGGUUUGUUUCAAAAACUUUAAGAAAUAUAGAUGGCUCGAGAUGUAUAAAAAUGGUAGCAAAUACUUCAAGACAAUCUUUCUCGUCUUUGUUACGAGGAAGCGUAGAUAUAGCAGGGCGAUCUAAACUUUCUUCUUCGCAGCAGAAAAAAGUUUCUAAAUAGACUUGCUCAGGUCGAAAAUAUGAGAAUCCUUUGCCAACCUCAAAAAAAAGCUUCUGAAACGUAACAGCUUCGAAAGGCUUGAUAUUCGUAAGGAAUCCCGAAAAUUGUUCACCUCCAAUUUCUAUGCAUCGAGACUUGCAUGUACGAAGCCCAUACAUAAGAGCCCGUAAGCCAAACAUCAAGUUUUUAAAAAGAAAUGAUCCAUCAUUGACGGAAGUGCUAAAUGAAGAUAAAUCCCUAGGAGAAGAACGCGUCGGUGACUUUGUCUCUUUAAUUUCUUCUUCAUACUUUUUCUUAAAAAACUGAUCCAAACUAUCAUUAAGUUCCGAAAACUUAUUUACAAAGCUAUCAAAAAUAGAUAAAAGAAGAAAUAUAGCAUCGGGGAUGCUAGGAAGACUAAUCAUUCUGUCAACCAUGUUUAAAAUGAGCCGGGCACCCAUAGUCUGUAACCCAAUGCUAAGAGUCAAAUCAUGCAUAUUGGUCGAAUAAAUCAUUAUAGAUUUUCUUAUUUGCGUUUCGUUAAGUUCGUCACGUACAUGAUGAAGUAAGUCAGCUAAUGUACUAAAUGC